rnacentral:rRNA from 1 species
CCUACGGGGCGCUGCAGUGGGGAAUAUUGGACAAUGGGCGAAAGCCUGAUCCAGCCAUGCCGCGUGUGUGAAGAAGGCCUUCGGGUUGUAAAGCACUUUCAGUGGGGAAGAAAGCCUUGGGGCUAAUACCCUCGAGGAAGGACAUCACCCACAGAAGAAGCACCGGCUAACUCCGUGCCAGCAGCCGCGGUAAUACGGAGGGUGCGAGCGUUAAUCGGAAUUACUGGGCGUAAAGCGCGCGUAGGCGGUCUGAUAAGCCGGUUGUGAAAGCCCCGGGCUCAACCUGGGAACGGCAUCCGGAACUGUCAGGCUAGAGUGCAGGAGAGGAAGGUAGAAUUCCCGGUGUAGCGGUGAAAUGCGUAGAGAUCGGGAGGAAUACCAGUGGCGAAGGCGGCCUUCUGGACUGACACUGACGCUGAGGUGCGAAAGCGUGGGUAGCAAACAGGAUUAGAUACCCGGUAGUC